CCUACGGGAGGCAGCAGUGAGGAAUAUUGGUCAAUGGGCGUAAGCCUGAGCCAGCCAAGUCGCGUGAGGGAUGAAGGUUCUAUGGAUCGUAAACCUCUUUUAUAAGGGAAUAAAGUGCGGGUCGUGUCCCGUUUUGUAUGUACCUUAUGAAUAAGGAUCGGCUAACUCCGUGCCAGCAGCCGCGGUAAUACGGAGGAUCCGAUCGUUAUCCUGAUUUAUUGGGUUUAAAGGGUGCGUAGGCGGCCUUUUAAGUCAGCGGGGAAAGUCUGUGGCUCAACCAUAGAAUUGCCGUUGAAACUGGGAGGCUUGAGGAUGUUUGAGGAAGGCGGAAUGCGUGGUGUAGCGGGGAAAUGCGUAGAUAUCACGCAGAACCCCGAUUGCGAAGGCAGCCUGCCAAGCCAUGACUGACGCUGAUGCACGAAAGCGUGGGGAUCAAACAGGAUUAGAUACCCCAGUAGUC
rnacentral:rRNA from 1 species